GUCCCUGUGAAAAUGCCCUAUGCGCCCUAGCCGGGCGCAAGGAGCUGGCAUCAGGCACAUCUUAGUUAUUGCCCAUAACGCCCUGCUUAGCCACACCCCCACGGGAAUCCAGCAGUGAUAAACAUUAAGCAAUAAGCGAAAGCUUGACUUAGUUAAUGAUAAAGAGGGCCGGUAAAACUCGUGCCAGCCACCGCGGUUAUACGAGGGGCCCGAGUUGACAAUCAUCGGCGUAAAGAGUGGUUAGGAUGUUUACCAAACUAAAGCCGAACGCCGUCCAAGCUGUUAUACGCGUUUGAUGGUAAGAAGCACACCCACGAAAGUGGCUUUACAUACUCUGAAUCCACGAAAACUAUGAUACAAACUGGGAUUAGAUACCCCACUAUGCGUAGACGUAAAAAUUGAUAGUCCACUACACCCGCUAUCCGCCUGGGGACUACGAGCACUAGCUUAAAACCCAAAGGACUUGGCGGUGCUUCAAACCCCCCUAGAGGAGCCUGUUCUAGAACCGAUACUCCCCGUUCAACCUCACCCCUUCUUGCCCAAUCAGCCUAUAUACCGCCGUCGUCAGCUAACCCUGUGAAGGUCUAGCAGUAAGCAAGAUCGGUACAACCCAAAACGCCAGGUCGAGGUGUAGCAUAUGAAGGGGGAAGCAAUGGGCUACAUUCUCUCCCACAGAGAAUACGGAUGAUGAAUUGAAACAUUUAUCUGAAGGAGGAUUUAGCAGUAAGCAGAAAAUAGAGUGUUCUGCUGAAGUCGGCCCUGAAGCGCGCACACACCGCCCGUCACUCUCCCCAAAAGCCUAUUACUCACGUAAUUAAUCCCACACCGCUGCCCCAGGGGAGGCAAGUCGUAACAUGGUAAGUGUACCGGAAGGUGCACUUGGACAAACAU
rnacentral:ncRNA from 1 species